GUGAAAUCCAUAUAUUAGGGGUUAAUUUAUUUAUGUCAAUUGACUGAUUUCCUUCUAUGAACUGUAACUCAAUAAAAUCUUUGACAUUGUUGCAUGUUGAGUUUAUAUUUUUGUUCAGUACAAAACCAGUCAAAAGUUUGGAUACAAACUAAUUCAAGGGUGUCAAUACUCUCUACGAGUGGUGGGUGUGGAAGUCAGACGCAGGAGAGGAGUAAAUACGUGGAAAAGCGUAUUUAAUAAAGUUCAUCCAAAACCUACAGGUAUUGAAUCAAAAUAAGUCCUUAAAUCCACUAGGACAAAACACUAGUGAUAAACACCUGAAUGAAAAUAAAAUGAACAAACUAACGUCACCCAAAACAAACAGGGAAACGCCAACAACCCCGCACGAAUCAGAGUGGGUAGGGCGAGAAUAAAUACCCAAAAUAAUAAACCUAAACAAGCCACAGGUGAACAAUCAAAACUGACAUAACCAAACAAAAAUGAAAAAAGGAUCGGUGGGAGCUAAUAGACCGGCGACGACGACCACCGAGCGCCGCCCGAACAGGGAGAGGAGCCACCUUCGGUAGAAGUCGUGACAAAGGGUUUUUCUCUAUUUUUACUAUUUUCUAUAUUAUAGAGUAAUAGUGAAGACAUCAAAACUAUGAAAUAACAUGUAUGGAAUCAUGUAGUACCAAAAAAGUGUUAUACAGUGGUAUACAGAAGAAAAACACCAAUCUCAACGUCAACAGUGAAGAGACAACUCCGGGAUGCUGGCCUUCUAGGCAGCGUUCUUCUGUCCAGUGUCUGUGUUCUUUUGCCCAUCUUAAUCUUUUAUUUUUAUUGGCCAGACUGAGAUAUGGCUUUUUCUUUGCAACUCUGCCUAGAAGGCCAGCAUCCUGGAGUCGUCUCUUCACUGUUGAUGUUGAUACUGUUGUUUUGCGGGUACUAUUUAAUGAAGCUGCCAGUUGAGGACUUGUGAGGCGUCUGUUUCAUAAACUAGACACUCUAAUGAACUUGUCCUCUUGCUCAGUUGUGCACCGGGGCCUCCCACUCCUCUUUCUAUUCUGGUUAGAGCCAGCUUCUGUGAAGGGAGUAGUACACAGCGUUGUAGGAGAUCUUCAGUUUCUUGGCAAGUUCUCGCAUGGAAUAGCCUUAAUUUCUCAAAACAAGAAUAGACUGACGUGUUUCAAAACAAAGUCUUUGUUUCUGGCCAUUUUGAGCCUGUAAUCGAACACACAAAUGCUGUUGCUCCAGAUACUCAACUAGUCUAAAGAAGGCCAGUUUCAUUGCUUCUUUAAUCAGAACAACAGUUUUCAGCUGUGUUAACAUAAUUGCAAAAGGGUUUUCUAAUGAUCAAUUAGCCUUUUAAAAUUAUAAACUUGGAUUAGCUAACACAACCUGCCAUUGGAACACAGGUGUGAUGGUUGCUGAUAAUGGGCUUCCGUAUGCCUAUGUAGAUAUUCCAUAAAAAAUCUGCUGUUUCCAGCUACAAUAGUCAUUUACAACAUUAACAACGUCUACACUGUAUUUCUGAUCAAAUUGAUGUUAUUUAAAAAAUAAAAUUUAAAAAAGUUCUUUAAAAAACAAGGACAUUUCUAACUGACCCCAAACUGACCCCAAACUUUUUUAUAUAUAUAUAUACACACUACUUUUGUAGUGUGUGUAUAUAUAUAUAUAUAUAUAUAUAUAUAUUCAGAAAGUAUUCAGACCUCUUCCACUUUUCCACAUUUUUCUACACACAAUACCACAUAAUGAAAAAGCAAAAACAGUUUUUUUUGUGUGUGUGUGAAAAUGUAUUACAAAUAAAAAACAGAAAUACCUUAUUCCCAUAAGUAUUCAGACCCUUUGCUAUGAGACUCGAAAUUGAGCUCAAGUGCGUCCUGUUUCCAUUGAUCAUACUUGAGCUGUUUCUCCAACUUGAUUGGAGUUCACCUGUGGUAAAUUCUAUUGAUUGUACAUGAUUUGGAAAGGAACACACCUGUUUAUAUAAGGUCCCACAGUUGACAGUGCAUGUCAGAGCAAAAACCAAGCCAUGAGGUCAAAGAAAUUUUCCGUUGAGCUCUGAUACAGGAUUGUGUCGAGGCACAGAUCUGGGGAAGGGUACCAAAAAAUGUCUGCAACAUUGAAGGUCCCCAAGAACACAGUGGUCUCCAUCAUUCUUAAAAGGAAGUUUGGAACCACCAAGACUCUUCCUAGAGCUGGCCGCCUGGCCAAACUGAGCAUUCGGGGAGAAGGUCCUUCGUCAGGGAGGUGACCAAGAACCCGAUGGACACUGACAGAGCUCCAGAGUGGCUCUGUGGAGACGGGAGAACCUUCCAGAAGGACAACCAUCUCAGACUUCUGCUGAAAAGUAGGUUCCCUCAGGACAUGGACUACAGUGUUACUCAACACUGAGGCCCAAAUCAAGAUUCACUUCCGCGAGACCUAUAUGAAUGAAUGAAUGUCAGGGACAAAAAAAGAGGUCAAACAUAAUUCAUCAUAAGUUUGUCUCUUUACAAAGUUCUGUUAUUGUAUUAUUAUUUUUAAGUGAUAACAAAUGUAUUGCACAGUACCCUGUAUAUCAAGUGAGGGAGCUUUUUAGUGAACAGAAGUAUUACAUGUAAAGUACUACCGUAUAUAAAACAAUUUGAAAAUAUACCUGAAGCAAGGGGAGGUUGUUUCAGUAGAGGAUUGAUCCAUAACACUGAGACCCAACAACACUAUACCACUCAUACAUUCUUAAAUAAAUUGUCAAAUAAAUUACACAUUGACCCGUUUAUCUGUAUCUCUGUUUGCCAAGUGCAGUCAAAGGGUAUGAGGCCGUUUGAUCCAAAGGAUGAAACUGAGACCUCAGUCACUGAAAGUGAAAUGUGAAUCAUGAUGCAACCGGAUUCCAAGAGGUCUCCUGUUCAGUCAUAUUUUGGUAUUCAAUGUGCUCUCCUGUUACCUUGCACUUUCAAAGUGAAUGCAAUGCAUCUAGAAAGCUAUGCCAGUCAAGGUCUGUUUUUCUAUCUAGACUGAUAAUUCUUGAGGAGGGAAUCAAGGAUUCAUGAUGACACAAUAUGAAAACUAAAAAGCCCUUUUAAGAAAGUUGAUGCCAAUAAUCAAUCAAAAGUUCUGUAUGCACAGUUUCUUUUCCUGUAUGCAACACCUGUCACAAUGUGGAAUAUCAACCGUGACACCCCGGUAACCUUCACACUCAGGAUGUUCCUAAAAUGAACCAAAGCUUAAGUCUAAAGGUGAGGUAAAAAAGUGAGCAACGAAUUAUUGUUUAUUAACGCAGGUCAGACUCAGACAUGCCAUCAUCCUCUUCUUCACCAAGCUUUGGAACAAAUGCGGUGACAAAACUGCAAUAGGUUUAUCAAUAGUUGCUGCACCAAGCCGGGAGACAUGGGCACAAUGUUUCAUUUGUUUUGGUGCUUCGAAAGGCCUUGUUUUCACUAUCCCUACAUUCCAACAGUACAAACAGAGAGCCAAAAGACAACCUACCAAGCAACACUUAAAUGAAAGGAUUGAAUUAGUUGUGGGCUGAACAUUUUAAUAGACUUUUGAGUGUUACUAUCAGCCUAAUGCAGCAGCAAAUGUUGUGUGUCUAGAGAUUUUGUAUUUUGUCCUCGACACACUCAAUAAAAUACUGUUAAAAUACAGUAUGCAUCGGUUUUAGCUUUCUGAUAUAAUGCCGGUGUACCUUUGAUUGGUGUUUUGAGUUGAGUUUGUGUACAACAGAACUACCCUAAAUACCACUCAUAGGUAUAUACUGUAUAACUUACAUUAUGUGCAAAGUACCAAACAUUAAGUCAGAAGAAACAAUGUUAGACUGACAAAAUAUAAUUAUUCAAAAUGUUGUUACAUGAAGCAUUCUUUUUCUGGUGGUAAAAUGAACGUAGGAUGUUUCCUAUUUCUCUCACCCUCCAGCAGUGGGUGAAUUGCUGUGCAUAUCUCUGGCUGCAGUUGUGCAGUCCUGGAGUGAACACAAAGCCUACUAUUGUUUGUUAGUAUCAGAAAGUAGACAUUGUAAGUCACAGUACUAUAGGCCUACAGUAAUGAUAAAAACAAUUGUAUAAUUUAUCAUAUUAUUUUAGGUGGUAUUGAAGCCCACAAAAAGACUUGUGUAUAUCUAACCGUAAUGUACAUUUAAUAUUUGUGUUGACGGCUACAUACAGUACAGUCAGUACCCAAACAAAACUGUAAUUGGAUAUGUGAAAUUUGUACAUUAGCAUUACAUGAAGUACUUUAUUCUAGCAACGAAUUACCAUUAAAAUGAAGAAAAUAACAUGGGUAUACUGUAAAAACCAUACAAAUGUCAUUGCAUAUUAAAAUGCUGUUUAGUUUUUAUGUUUCCUAUGGCUCUUUCCAUUGCCUAAAUCUACAAAAGCAGGUGUUUUGAAUGGAAAGUUAAGAACACUUUUAUCAGGCAUCCUGUUGAACACCACUUCCUGUACCUUCUACCUGGUACAUACUGCAAUAUGAUGGCACAUCCCACUGUGACACCAGUGGUGCAAGUGUCUUUUUUAAUCAAGCAAAUACCUAGAGCUAACCUAUUCAUAUAGUUGAAACAUAGGGGAUCUGGACACAUUUGGACAGGAUGCUAAUCUUAGCCCACUUGUCAUUGCUGCUUCUUUUGGGAAGCCAAGAUUCAGUAACCUGUACCGACCUGCAGAAACAGCAUGAAGUCAUCCAUGCAGCAGUUGGAGAACCUUUAGUGUUGAACUGCACCUACAACUGCUCCUCUGGAUUUGUCCGUGGACACUGGCUCAAACUCCCAGACUGUCUUCGUUGUCCUAGGCCAAGGGAAACAAAAAAUGUCACAAAGAAUGGUGACCUCUGCACUCUACCAUUGUAUUUUCCACAUCUGUCCAGGGAAGAUUUUCAGUACAACUAUACCUGCUUUUCUGAAGAUCAUGAAAGCGAACAGUUCCCACGCAAGAUAGAGUGUCUGGUAUCACUGCAAGCACAAGAUGAAUCGGUGACAGCGUUGGGUAACCAUGAGGACUCCAUAAUAGAUCAUGAGAAAUUCACAGGCGUCAAGGUGUUGGCAACAGUGACAGUUAUUGUGGCUGCGGUGUUGGCAGCCGUGUCUGUCUCCUUAUGUAUGAGCCGCAAUCGAUAUUGCAAAGGAAAACCUGCUGUUAUCUGCACAGGCACAACAUCAAGAGAAGGAUCAGGUGCAUGCUCAACCAAUUGUGAGAGGGUGGCACUGCGAAUAACUCCGGCUGAUUGCCAGAGUGAUCAUGAGGUUCCUUAUGCUGACAUCAUGAUUACUAUGCGAGGGGCCAGCACACCUGAGCUCACACAGAUCUCCUACCUGGCUCCGGGGGACCAUAGAGAGAGGUGGAGGGAAGAGGCAGGCCCUGGCCCCAGCACCGGCCCUGAAGCUAGAUCCCACCUGCAGGCCUCCCGCUCAGCUGACAGACUGCAUGUCCAGCCCCGAGAAGUCUCAAGGAAGAUGAGCACAAACUCUGAGUAUGCUGUUAUCACCUACUCUUAACCAGUGGGGAUGGAGAAAGGAUAAAAGAGUGAACAAGAGAGAGCAAGUGAGACAUGACUGUCACUGUACUCAUGUUAAUAUUCCCUGGCUUUGUUAGCAUUUUUUUUUACUGUAGCAAGUUGUAUCUAUAACCGUAUAAAAAGUGAAAUGAACUGUCAUCCAAUAAAGUCAUACUUUUGUGUCA
rnacentral:lncRNA from 1 species